UAUUAUGGUAAGCGAAACUGGUCAGAGAAAGACAAAUAUCAUAUGAUGUCACUCAUAUGAGGACUUUAAGAUACAGAACAGAUGAA